AUUGAACGCUGGCGGCAGGCCUAACACAUGCAAGUCGAGCGGAUGAAUCGAGCUUGCUCCUGGAUUCAUCGGCGGACGGUUGAGUCAUGCCUAGGAAUCUGCCUGGUCGUGGGGGAUCAUGUCCUGAUACGGGCGCUACUACCUCAUACGUCCUGUUGCUGCAAGUGGGUGAUCUUCGGACCUCUUGCUUUCAGAUUAGCCUAGGUCGGAUUAGCUAGUUGGGGGGGUAACGGCCUACCAAGGCGACGAUCCGUAACUGGUCUGAGAGGAUGACCAGUCAGACUGGAACUGAGACAGGGUCCAGACUCCGACGGGAGGCAGCAGUGGGGAAUAUUGGACGAUGGGCGAAAGCCGGAUCCAGCAAAGCCGCGUGUGUGAAGAAGGUCUUCGGAUGGUAAAGCACUUUAAGUUGGGAGGAAGGGAAGUAAGUUAAUACCUGGCUGUUUUGACGGUACCAAAAGAGUAAGCACCGGCUAACUUCGUG
rnacentral:rRNA from 1 species